GGACUACCAGGGUAUCUAAUCCUGUUCGCUCCCCACGCUUUCGUCCAUCAGCGUCAAUCCACUGGUAGCAACCUGCCUUCGCAAUUGGUAUUCCAUGUAAUAUCUAAGCAUUUCACCGCUACACUACAUAUUCUAGUUGCUUCCCAGUAAUUCAAGUCUUGCAGUAUCAAUGGCCGUUCCGCCGUUGAGCGACGGGCUUUCACCACUGACUUACAAGACCGCCUACGGACCCUUUAAACCCAAUGAUUCCGGAUAACGCUUGGAUCCUCCGUAUUACCGCGGCUGCUGGCAC
rnacentral:rRNA from 1 species